rnacentral:rRNA from 1 species
CCUACGGGCGGCUGCAGUGGGGAAUAUUGGACAAUGGGGGCAACCCUGAUCCAGCCAUGCCGCGUGUGUGAAGAAGGCCCUCGGGUUGUAAAGCACUUUCAGUGAGGAAGAACGCCUGGUGGUUAAUACCCAUCAGGAAAGACAUCACUCACAGAAGAAGCACCGGCUAACUCCGUGCCAGCAGCCGCGGUAAUACGGAGGGUGCGAGCGUUAAUCGGAAUUACUUGGCGUAAAGCGCGCGUAGGUGGCUUGAUAAGCCGGUUGUGAAAGCCCCGGGCUCAACCUGGGAACGGCAUCCGGAACUGUCAAGCUAGAGUGCAGGAGAGGAAGGUAGAAUUCCCGGUGUAGCGGUGAAAUGCGUAGAGAUCGGGAGGAAUACCAGUGGCGAAGGCGGCCUUCUGGACUGACACUGACACUGAGGUGCGAAAGCGUGGGUAGCAAACAGGAUUAGAUACCCCAGUAGUC